GACGAACGCUGGCGGCGUGCUUAACACAUGCAAGUCGAACGGAAAGGCCCUGCUUGCAGGGUACUCGAGUGGCGAACGGGUGAGUAACACGUGGGUGAUCUGCCCUGCACUUCGGGAUAAGCCUGGGAAACUGGGUCUAAUACCGGAUAUGACCUUCCAUGUAGUGUGGGGGGUGGAAAGAUUUACCGGUGUGGGAUGAGCCCGCGGCCUAUCAGCUUGUUGGUGGGGUAAUGGCCUACCAAGGCGUCGACGGGUAGCCGGCCUGAGAGGGUGGACGGCCACAUUGGGACUGAGAUACGGCCCAGACUCCUACGGGAGGCAGCAGUGGGGAAUAUUGCACAAUGGGCGGAAGCCUGAUGCAGCGACGCCGCGUGGGGGAUGACGGCCUUCGGGUUGUAAACCUCUUUCGACAGGGACGAAGCUUCGGCGACGGUACCUGUAUAAGAAGCACCGGCUAACUACGUG
rnacentral:rRNA from 1 species